rnacentral:rRNA from 1 species
UGUCCUACGGGAGGCAGCAGUGGGGAAUAUUGCACAAUGGGGGAAACCCUGAUGCAGCGACGCCGCGUGAAGGAAGAAGUAUUUCGGUAUGUAAAGCUCUAUCAGCAGGGAAGAAAAUGACGGUACCUGACUAAGAAGCCCCGGCUAACUACGUGCCAGCAGCCGCGGUAAUACGUAGGGGGCAAGCGUUAUCCGGAUUUACUGGGUGUAAAGGGAGCGUAGACGGCAGCGCAAGUCUGAAGUGAAAUCCCAUGGCUUAACCAUGGAACUGCUUUGGAAACUGAGCAGCUAGAGUGCAGGAGAGG